UACGAAGGGGGCUAGUGUUGUUCGGAAUUACUGGGCGUAAAGGGUGCGUAGGCGGUUGGCUAAGUUUGGUGUGAAAUCUCCCGGCUUAACUGGGAGGGUGCGCCGAAAACUGGCUGGCUAGAGUGUGGGAGAGGGAAGUGGAAUUCCUGGUGUAGCGGUGAAAUGCGUAGAUAUCAGGAGGAACACCUGAGGUGUAGACGGCUUCCUGGACCAUUACUGACGCUGAGGCACGAAAGCGUGGGGAGCAAACAGG
rnacentral:rRNA from 1 species